rnacentral:rRNA from 1 species
UAGGGAAUUUUCGUUCAAUGGGCGCAAGCCUGAACGAGCGAUGCCGCGUGAGUGAAGAAGGCCUUCGGUCGUAAAGCUCUGUUGCGGGGGAAAAAAGGACAGCAUCAGGAAAUGGGUGCUGACUGAUGGUGCCCCGCCAGAAAGUCACGGCUAACUACGUGCC